UACGUAGGGGGCAAGCGUUGUCCGGAAUUAUUGGGCGUAAAGAGCUCGUAGGCGGUCUGUCGCGUCUGCUGUGAAAACUCGGGGCUUAACCCCGGGCCUGCAGUGGGUACGGGCAGACUAGAGUGCGGUAGGGGAGACUGGAAUUCCUGGUGUAGCGGUGAAAUGCGCAGAUAUCAGGAGGAACACCGGUGGCGAAGGCGGGUCUCUGGGCCGUAACUGACGCUGAGGAGCGGAAGCGUGGGGAGCGAACAGG
rnacentral:rRNA from 1 species